rnacentral:tRNA from 1 species
GAAGUACUAGUAAAAAAGAAUAUUACAUUGCCUUGUCAAGGCAUAAUUACAAGUUAAAAUCUUGUGUAUUUUA